GGGGGGAAAUGGGGUGUGUUAUUGGAGUGAGAUUGGCAUCGUUCUUCACCGGUGCUGCAGCGGCGUCGUUUCUGGGCCUCUACAGCCUCCACAACGAUUACAAGCUCGCGCACUUAUACUAUAUUCAACGGAUGCAUGUAUUUCGUCUUUUGAUUGAUGGAGUGAGGAUUGUGCAGAGGGAGGCAGACUGCUUCAUUUCCUGAUCCAGCUUUUGAUUGAAUUGAAAGAUGAAUGGCCUCCACAAAUCACUGGAAAGUCGAAUUUCUUCCUUGGAAAAACUGAAACAAACGGAAACUUCUGAACAGGUUGAAGCAACAAAAUAAGAGUUCAGACCGAAGCAUCCAUUGUGGAAAAAUUUGAUUCA